GUUGUGUUAAUGUGUCGAUUUGGCUUCAUCAUUCUCAGACCUCCUUCCUCUCUCAACGUGCACGAACGGCGCCGGAGAAGCCUUCUUCUCCGAGCGGCCGUCAACAUUUCUUUUUGCCUCAUCCUCUCGGUCUCUCUCGUCUCCGUCCCUCACUCUCAUUUUUUCGCCUAAUAAUCUAACAAGAAUAAGCCCUAAGUCUAGCGGAGCAGAUUCAAAUCUAAGCUUCAACGAAUUCUAGUCAAUCGGAGUUGCAACAAGCAUCACGUCGAGAAUAAUGAACAAUAGAGGGCAAGAAUAUGAUUCGGGAACUUACUGACCGGAGCAGCUUCCGGUGGCUCUUCACACUGACGGCGUCGGAGACGUGUCUUCGUGAAAUCCAGAUGUUCGGUGAUGGUUCUCAAUGGCGUUGAAUUGCUGUUGCUUCAUCUUCAUAGGUGAUGGGGAUUCUUGGUGAUGAUUGAAGAUUGGUGUUGUAUGAAGAUUCAGAGGUGGAGAAUGGGAGUGAAAAAGAUUGAUGGUGAAGUGAAGAGAGAGCUUGAAGCGUGUAUGAACAAUGGUUGAAGAAGAUGAAGGUGAUUGUGAGGUAUGAAGAGUGAAGGAAGAGAAGAAGAUGAAGAAUGGAGCAAUGCUCUGUUAUAUAGAGUGAAGAUUGAGCACUCAGUUACAACUUGAAGCCUUCUCAACCUCAUGAUCAAAAGUCAGUUAUGUUCAAUGGAUGGAGGAGAUUGAGUCUGGUUAAAAGGGACCCUGUUUAGAAUGUGGAGAAGCUGGCAGGUCUUGGAUGCUUGAUGAUGAAUGGAGCUGCCGGUUUGAUUGUUGCAGGAACUGUUUUCUGGAACUGCUGCAUCUAUUUGAGGGCAGCAUAUGGUGCACCACGUAAGCCACGUGAAACUGAAGCUUUUGAGGACUUGAAGGGGAAUAGGUCUUAGGGGAGUGUCGACUUUGUAAUUUUGUAUCUCUUUUGUAGUGAACUUGUAACUUGGAUGAACGUGAACGAUGUUGACUUUCAUAAACUUGUAACAAACUUUAGAAGCUUGUAAUGAAUCCUGAUAACCAUUUGAAUGAGCUUUAUAAAUGGGCUCAUCUCAAAUAUUGAAUAUAUUCGAAACUUGGACUCUGAAUGAAAUA